GGCUUCGUAAGGAGCAGGAACCUGGAGGGAGGGAUGAGUGUUUGUCUCUCCCAACGUGAUCUGAUCCCUGUGACAGUGUUCUGGAUUCCAAGCACUUGUUCUCUGUAUCCAUGUUCUGGCAAGUUUUGGAAACAACUCCAACUUCCCGCUCCAACCGUGAGCCUCCCUUUCUUUCCUACCUGCAGCCCUGCAGUUCUGAGAUCACCUUGGGGAAACACGAAAUCAUGGCUCACCUGCCUGUCCCAUGAGCAUGGUAGUGGGGGGAAAAGUGGACUUGACUACCCAGGACUCGAGUAGGGAGAGGGGCACAUGAAAACCAUGAUUUUUUUUUUUGUGAUGCUUUUAUUUCACAUGAAUUGGGGACUCCAUUUAACUGGUGUUAGAAUUUAUUUUAAAUAUACUGAUAACAUCAACUGAGAGAAUGAAGUUUGUCACAGUCCACCCAACAUACCGGACAUUCUGGGGGCCCCCUCUUGGAGGAGCAAAAUGGCCCAACAGGAACUGGCGACAAGUGUAACGCCAGUGAGCCCAGAUUGAAUGACCUGCGGGCUAGACAUCACGCUGUCCAAAAAAGCAUAAAUCUGGAUAUCAAAAGAAUAAGAUAUAGCUCUUACGUUGGUUGAUGACACGGAUGGAUUCAAUAAAUCAUCAUUUAACCACCAGUUCUGGUCUUCUCAAUAUUGACUGGAUGCUACAGUAAGAGCUUGACCGCCACCUCAUUGCUGCACCACGUGGUCUC